UCCGUUUCCGGCCGAGGCUGCGGGAAGAUGGCGGCGGCCAUGGCAGCAUCUCCCCUGACGGUCACCUUAGGGCGGCUGGCGUCCGCGUGCAGCCACAGCAUCCUGAGACCUUCGGGGCCCGGAGCAGCCUCCCUUUGGUCUGCUUCUCGAAGGUUCAAUUCACAGAGCACUUCAUAUCUACCAGGGUAAUAUCAAAAUAUAUGUUCCUAAAACAUCCCUGAGUUCACCACCUUGGCCAGAAGUUGUUCUGCCAGACCCAGUUGAGGAGACCAGACACCAUGCAGAGGUCGUGAAGAAGGUGAAUGAGCUGAUCGCCACGGGGCAGUAUGGCAGGCUCUUUGCCGUGCUGCACUUUGCCAGCCGCCAGUGGAAGGUGACCUCUGAAGACCUGAUCUUAAUUGGAAAUGAACUAGACCUUGCGUGUGGAGAGAGAAUUCGACUAGAGAAGGUCCUGCUGGUUGGGGCAGACAACUUCACGCUGCUUGGCAAGCCACUCCUCGGAAAGGAUCUUGUUCGAGUAGAAGCCACAGUCAUUGAAAAGACAGAAUCGUGGCCAAGAAUCAUUAUGAGAUUCAGGAAAAGGAAAAACUUCAAGAAGAAAAGAAUCAUCACGACCCCGCAGACCGUCCUCCGGAUAAACAGCAUUGAGAUUGCUCCGUGUUUGUUGUGAUUACCGAGUUAAUACUUACAAAAGGAUAAAAAUAAACUCCUGCUUCCCAAGGA